CACUGUUAUGCCCAGUACGGCGAGUGAGCGGCAACAGCUCAAAUUUGAAAUCUGGCCCCUCCGGGUCCGAGUUGUAAUUUGUAGAGGAUGCUUUUGGUGAGGUGCCGCCCGAGUUCCCUGGAACGGGACGCCACAGAGGGUGAGAGCCCCGUCUGGCUGGCCACCGAGCCUCUGUAAAGCUCCUUCGACGAGUCGAGUAGUUUGGGAAUGCUGCUCAAAAUGGGAGGUAUAUGUCUUCUAAAGCUAAAUAUUGGCCAGAGACCGAUAGCGCACAAGUAGAGUGAUCGAAAGAUGAAAAGCACCUUGAAAAGAGGGUUAAACAGUACGUGAAAUUGUUGAAAGGGAAGCGCUUGUGACCAGACUUGGGCGCGGCGGAUCAUCCGGGGUUCUCUCCGGUGCACUUCGCCGCGUUCAGGCCAGCAUCAGUUCGUCGCGGGGGAAAAAGGCUUCGGGAACGUGGCUCCUCCGGGAGUGUUAUAGCCCGUUGCAUAAUACCCUGCGGUGGACUGAGGACCGCGCAUCUGCAAGGAUGCUGGCGUAAUGGUCACCAGCGACCCGUCUUGAACCACGGACCCA
rnacentral:rRNA from 1 species